rnacentral:rRNA from 1 species
AGAAUCAACGCUGGCGGCGUGCCUAACACAUGCAAGUCGAACGCGAAAGGGGAGCAAUCCCUGAGUAGAGUGGCAAACGGGUGAGUAACACGUGGGUGACCUGCCUUCGAGUGGGGGAUAACGUUCCGAAAGGAACGCUAAUACCGCAUGACAUCCUGCUUUUGGAAAAGCGGAGAUCAAAGCUGGGGAUUCGCAAGAACCUAGCGCUUGAAGAGGGCCCGCGCCUGAUUAGCUAGUUGGAGAGGUAAUGGCUCACCAAGGCGACGAUCAGUAGCUGGUCUGAGAGGAUGAUCAGCCACACUGGGACUGAGACACGCCCAGACCUCCGUACGGGAG